UAUGUUGGAAAAAUGAAUUACUAAUCUAUUCAAUCAAAUAUCUAGAUAGUGACACAAUUUUCAUAGGGUAUAUUGGAAUAUUACCUUAAGAAUUAUAUAUUUUGGCCUCUGUCAGAUUAAUGUGUACAUAGAGUAAUUUUCUCUUCAUUGUUGUAGUAAUGGUUUCCUUGCAUUGGUCAUUCCAUGACCCAUGCCGCCCACUUAGAAUGUGCUUUGACUUCCCCAGGUUGUAAAAUAGCACUAUUUUAUGGACCCAAGUUCGAAAGGAUUAGGGCACUGGAUUGGCUACAACUCCUUUUUAUCUUGGGAGACAAACAGAUCAGGGCGGUGUGGUCUGCUCUGUCCCCAUGAAGGUUUGUCCUGCUCUGUUUGUUUUUCCAUUUCUCAUUUAUAUUUUGUUCAGUAUCAUGUGGUACAGCUAGCUAGACCAAAUAGUUCUAAUAUGAUACAAUAAAUGUUGAUCAUUGAUAAUUGGUAAAGGUUGUUGUUUAAACAUAACAUCAAAUGCACAAUGAUUGGACAUGAGCUUCAGUUUUUUCAGGUCUACACAUAAGUUGCAGCUGAAGAAAGGCUUCAGGUAGGAGCAGUGGUUAGCUUAAAGAGAAGACACCCUAAGAAUGGUAGUUGCUCUGAUCAUCUUGAGUGAAUGCUACUGGAUACACAAGGCUUCAGGUGCUAUGAAUUCCGUCAGUUACUCCUUGCAACCACCCCAACUUAGGUUCAAGAUACAUAUGAGGCAAAUUUUGAGUUUGUACUAGGACAACUUCACUGUUUUGUUACUUAUAUUUCCUCCUUA